rnacentral:rRNA from 2 species
AACUUUCAACAACGGAUCUCUUGGUUCUCGCAUCGAUGAAGAACGCAGCGAAAUGCGAUAAGUAAUAUGAAUUGCAGAUUUUCGUGAAUCAUCGAAUCUUUGAACGCACAUUGCACCCUCUGGUAUUCCAGAGGGUAUGCCUGUUUGAGCGUCAUUU